UGGGAAGGCGCUUAGCAGCCCCCCCCAAACAGAAUUAAUCUCUCUCUCUCUCUCUCUCUCUCUCUCUUAUUUUUCUCUUUUGCUCCCUCUCGGAUUUUCGUCGAUUCCAAGCGAUCGAACGGUUGGAUCUUCGAUCCGACUUCAUUUUUACCAUUAAAGCGCCCCCGAUCUACAAAGAGCCUGUAAGUAGGUGUGUAGUUUCGCUAUACACUUACGCGUAGCAAGCAAGGCGAGACAUGAUGACGUAGUCUAUGGCUUAGCUCAACGAAUUCUAUGACGCCAGAUUUGAAUAUUGCGCGAGCCAAGGCUCGGAUUCUCAGGACUUUGUUCGAUCUUCUCCCCAGACUCGGACUUGAGUCAUCAUUUCCCAG